GGACGAACGCUGGCGGCGUGCCUAAUACAUGCAAGUCGAGCGGACCGACGGGAGCUUGCUCCCUUAGGUCAGCGGCGGACGGGUGAGUAACACGUGGGUAACCUGCCUGUAAGACUGGGAUAACUCCGGGAAACCGGGGCUAAUACCGGAUGCUUGAUUGAACCGCAUGGUUCAAUCAUAAAAGGUGGCUUUYAGCUACCACUURCAGAUGGACCCGCGGCGCAUUAGCUAGUUGGUGAGGUAACGGCUCACCAAGGCGACGAUGCGUAGCCGACCUGAGAGGGUGAUCGGCCACACUGGGACUGAGACACGGCCCAGACUCCUACGGGAGGCAGCAGUAGGGAAUCUUCCGCAAUGGACGAAAGUCUGACGGAGCAACGCCGCGUGAGUGAUGAAGGUUUUCGGAUCGUAAAACUCUGUUGUUAGGGAAGAACAAGUACCGUUCGAAUAGGGCGGYACCUUGACGGUACCUAACCAGAAAGCCACGGCUAACUACGU
rnacentral:rRNA from 1 species